rnacentral:rRNA from 1 species
AGAGUUUGAUCAUGGCUCAGGACGAACGCUGGCGGCGUGCUUAACACAUGCAAGUCGAACGGAGUUUAGGUCAGUAGUUUACUACAGAUUUAAACUUAGUGGCGGACGGGUGAGUAACACGUGGGCAACCUGCCCUAAAGAGGGGGAUAACACCGAGAAAUCGGUGCUAAUACCGCAUGACAUUAGAGCUUCGCAUGGAGCUUUAAUCAAAGGAGCAAUCCGCUUUAGGAUGGGCCCGCGUCUGAUUAGCUAGUUGGUGAGGUAGAGGCUCACCAAGGCGACGAUCAGUAGCCGAUCUGAGAGGAUGACCGGCCACACUGGAACUGAGACACAGUCCAGACUCCUACGGGAGGCAGCAGUGGGGAAUAUUGCACAAUGGGGGAAACCCUGAUGCAGCAACGCCGCGUGGAGGAAGAAGGUUU